rnacentral:misc_RNA from 1 species
AAGAUCUAAUCGGUUUAUUUUCGGACUUUUGCCGUGUUAUUACAGCAGGUACGUACAUUCGUACUCGGAGCGAUACGGGAGAUGGAUCGGUACCUAUAUCGUUUGGAGUCGGAUUACCGACAUAUUGGGCUAACAAUAAGUGGGAUGUUGCGAGAGUGGUAAUUUUCUACUGCUCGCGUGUUACAGUUUAACCGUUGGAACUCUGAGAACCUUUUAUUAGAGAAUAUUAUUAUACGAAAUUUAAUCGUUCGAAGCUUGUCAUCGGUGUUUAUUUUUACCGUCGUUACACGUCAAUUACGGGCUAUAGAAAAACAGUGAGAGUGCGAGAGAAAAGAUACGGAUCAUCGUUCAUCCGAAGUGCUGGUCUGCGUUGCAGAGAGAGAGAGAGAGAGAGGGAGAGAAGCCCUGCAAUAUCCGGGCUGACGAUUCUGCGGAGCUUUCGAAUAAAUGCCAGUCGCAAGAAGAGGAGGCUUAUACGCGGGAUGAUAUAACCACCGGUAUCUGCAUACGAUGUCGAGGAUCCGAAAGGGCUGCGGCGAAGGUA